rnacentral:rRNA from 1 species
UCAGGAUGAACGCUGGCGGUAUGCUUAACACAUGCAAGUCGAACGGUCUCUUCGGAGAUAGUGGCGGACGGGUGAGUAACGCGUGAGAAUCUAGCUUCAGGUCGGGGACAACAGUUGGAAACGGCUGCUAAUACCGGAUGUGCCGAAAGGUGAAAGAUUUAUUGCCUGAAGAUGAGCUCGCGUCUGAUUAGCUAGUAGGUGUGGUAAGAGCGCACCUAGGCGACGAUCAGUAGCUGGUCUGAGAGGACGAUCAGCCACACUGGGACUGAGACACGGCCCAGACUCCUACGGGAGGCAGCAGUGGGGAAUUUUCCGCAAUGGGCGAAAGCCUGACGGAGCAAUACCGCGUGAGGGAGGAAGGCUCUUGGGUUGUAAACCUCUUUUCUCAAGGAAGAAUACAAUGACGGUACUUGAGGAAUAAGCAUCGGCUAACUCCGUGCCAGCAGCCGCGGUAAUACGGAGGAUGCAAGCGUUAUCCGGAAUGAUUGGGCGUAAAGCGUCCGCAGGUGGCAAUGAAAGUCUGCUGUUAAAGAGUGAGGCUCAACCUCAUAAAAGCGGUGGAAACUACAUAGCUAGAGUACGUUCGGGGCAGAGGGAAUUCCUGGUGUAGCGGUGAAAUGCGUAGAGAUCAGGAAGAACACCGGUGGCGAAAGCGCUCUGCUAGGCCUGUACUGACACUGAGGGACGAAAGCUAGGGGAGCGAAUGGGAUUAGAUACCCCAGUAGUCCUAGCCGUAAACGAUGGAUACUAGGCGUGGCUUGUAUCGACCCGAGCCGUGCCGGAGCUAACGCGUUAAGUAUCCCGCCUGGGGAGUACGCACGCAAGUGUGAAACUCAAAGGAAUUGACGGGGGCCCGCACAAGCGGUGGAGUAUGUGGUUUAAUUCGAUGCAACGCGAAGAACCUUACCAAGACUUGACAUGUCGCGAAUCCUCUUGAAAGGGAGGAGUGCCUUCGGGAGCGCGAACACAGGUGGUGCAUGGCUGUCGUCAGCUCGUGUCGUGAGAUGUUGGGUUAAGUCCCGCAACGAGCGCAACCCUCGUUUUUAGUUGCCAGCAUUAAGUUGGGCACUCUAGAGAGACUGCCGGUGACAAACCGGAGGAAGGUGGGGAUGACGUCAAGUCAGCAUGCCCCUUACGUCUUGGGCUACACACGUACUACCAAUGCUACGGACAAAGGGCAGCAAGCUAGUGAUAGCAAGCAAAUCUCAUAAACCGUAGCUCAGUUCAGAUCGCAGGCUGCAACUCGCCUGCGUGAAGUCGGAAUCGCUAGUAAUUGCAGGUCAGCAUACUGCAGUGAAUUCGUUCCCGGGCCUUGUACACACCGCCCGUCACACCAUGGAAGCUGGCAACGCCCGAAGUCAUUACUCCAACCUUUCGAGGAGGAGGAUGCCUAAGGCAGUGCUGGUGACUGGGG